rnacentral:rRNA from 1 species
GACGAACGCUGGCGGCGUGCUUAACACAUGCAAGUCGUACGGUAAGGCCCUUUCGGGGGUACACGAGUGGCGAACGGGUGAGUAACACGUGAGUAACCUGCCCACAACUUUGGGAUAACGCUAGGAAACUGGUGCUAAUACUGGAUAUGUGCUCCUGCUGCAUGGUGGGUGUUGGAAAGCUCCGGCGGUUGUGGAUGGACUCGCGGCCUAUCAGCUUGUUGGUGGGGUAGUGGCCUACCAAGGCGGCGACGGGUAGCCGGGCUGAGAGGGUGACCGGCCACAUUGGGACUGAGAUACGGCCCAGACUCCUACGGGAGGCAGCAGUGGGGAAUAUUGCAAAAUGGGCGCAAGCCUGAUGCAGCAACGCCGCGGGCGGGAUGACGGCCUUCGGGUUGUAAACCGCUUUCAGCAGGGACGAAGCUUUUUGUGACGGUACCUGCAGAAGAAGCACCGGCUAACUACGUG